rnacentral:rRNA from 1 species
UACGGAGGGGGCUAGCGUUGUUCGGAAUUACUGGGCGUAAAGCGCACGUAGGCGGCGAUUUAAGUCAGAGGUGAAAGCCCGGGGCUCAACCCCGGAACUGCCUUUGAGACUGGACUGCUAGAAUCUUGGAGAGGCGAGUGGAAUUCCGAGUGUAGAGGUGAAAUUCGUAGAUAUUCGGAAGAACACCAGUGGCGAAGGCGGCUCGCUGGACAAGUAUUGACGCUGAGGUGCGAAAGCGUGGGGAGCAAACAGG